GGGGCCUGCAUGAAGGGCCAAGUGAUGCUGCAGGGCUGCUGAAGCUCUCCGAACUCACAAAUAAAGGGGCUUUUUGAGCGUCAACCCGAACACCAGGCGUAUGGCAUUAGGUAUAAUGCUUAGGAACCUGUCGUUCGGUGAGAGACGGGAUGUAGGGAUGCUGGAUAGAGCACGGGAGAGGCUGCUAAUUGAUGCUCAGCACCAGCAGGGACAGGCCGAUUGGAAAUGCGGCGGGCUCCUCGAGUAUCUGACUGCCAGGUGUAAGUUGCAAACCUUUUUGUCUCUUAGCUAAUGCCUUGAGUGUACUUUGCAGUGAACGUGUACCAAAAUGGGUCCACGAAGUUAUUCGGCGGAUAGCAGCAGAACUGGAGUUCUUUAUGCCGCAACCCUUUGCGGGGGAAAUACGGGGACUGUGCAAAGCGCUGGGAGUAAGUCUUGGAGAUGGAGUCCUGCUUAACUUCGCCUAUGAAUCUACUGCGUUCUGUACUAGCAUUGUUGCUCAGGAUGCCAAAGGAAAUAUUUACCACGGGCGGAACCUGGAUUACGAUUUUGUCGAUCUAUUAAGCAAGAUUACAAUUGAUGUGCGGUUCAUAAAAAGUGGGCAGAUAGCAUAUCAAGGUACCACGUUUCUUGGUUACGUAGGCUUAUGGACUGGACAAAGUCCACACAAGUUCACGAUCUCCGGUGAUGAACGAGAGGGUGGUAGAUGGUGGGAAAAUGCAAUAGCUGCUUUUCUAAAUCGCAAUUACCCUGUCAGCUGGCUUGUCCGAGACACCCUGAGCAGAGCUGAGGACUUCCAGUCAGCUGUUCUCAGACUAGCGGGCAUUCCCAUCAUUGCUGAAGUUUACUAUAUUGUAGGAGGUGUAUCGCCCAAAGAAGGCAUGGUCAUAACGAGGAAUAGAAGAGGGCCAGCCGACCUCUGGCCUCUCGAUCCUUUAGGUGGAGCGUGGUUUCGUGUGGAGACAAACUAUGACCAUUGGACUACUCCUCCUCCUUUUGAUGAUAGAAGAACUCCAGCCAUCAAAGCUCUCAAUGCUACUGGACAGCAGAACAUCAAUUUCGAUACGCUCUUUAAGGUGUUGUCAGUGAAGCCAGUCUUAAACAAUAACACAGUGUAUACCACAGUAAUGAGCGCUGCGUUUCCAGAUAAGUACCAGACAUGGAUCAGAACUGUGAAGUGAAGAGCUACAAUAUGAGUGAAAAGCUGGAGCUUUCAAAGACUGGCAUAUGCUUUCAAAAUCACUCUCAAGCAGUAUAGCAGUACGGUUGUUUUGGCUUGUUAAUUAUGUGAACCAUCCAGGAAAUAACGACUUGUCAAUUUUUCUAAGUGUUGCAGAUGAUAAUGUUAAUUAAAUAUAAUGGAAGCUUGAUUUUAUUGUAAUUACUCUGAUGUUCUAGCAGAUGCUGAUGGCUAAAAAUUGCUUUUACUGUUUCUGGAAAGAGUUGUACAACUUAAAUGUACUUUAUAUGCUGACUAAUAAAAAAAUUAAUAUAUUUUGUGUGGCCUGUAGGUCUGAAUAUAAUUAAAAAAUAUGCAGCUGAUAGCUUGAUUUAUGAAGACCUGUGGUGUUGUUCCUAAUGUCCUCACAGAUCAGGGAAAAGCAUGAUGGGCUUGUCAUAGUGAAUCUAACAGGGUCAGAUGCUUUGCCCAGAGAGAACUGGCCUGGGGGAGCGGGCAGACCGAAGAGAGCUCUGCAGAACCCUAUUGUAAUGGCAGAGCGGGGUUGCCACAGGUCCUGGUACUGUUUAAGCCUUCAUUGAACCACACCAGUUUGGCCACCCUGUCCUGAUGUGCUCUGUGGAACCUUCCUCAACAGAAAAGUUAUUCUGUUGGUACACAGGAAUGUGACUUUCCAUAGUGUGAAUUCCACUGCAGGCACUUGCUCUGCCCUUCAGCUGUGGUUCUCUGGUGCAUAGGCUUUUCAGCUGGUUUUAGCAAGCUUAUGAAAGGUGACUGGAGUCAAGAAUAGAAUAGUUCAGUUGGAAGGGGCCUACACCCCUCACCUGACCACUUCAGGGCUGACCCAAAAUUGCAGCAUGUUAAGGGCGUUGUCCAUGUACCUUUUGAACAUUGCCAGGGUUGGGGCAUCGCCACCUCUCGAGGAAGCCGGUUGCAGUAUUUGAUGGCUGUGUAUAGCUGUAGAUUACGGUGCUUUAUUCAUCGGAAAUCAGGAGGUCUUUUAGGAAGUGUCAUAAUGCAGGCUUUUAUCCCCAACAGAUGGGAGAAGCUUGUGAUGGGAUAGCAAUGAGGUUAGAAAAGGGAUGGUUUUCAUUUUAUGUUCCUGACAGUGGCCUUCAACAGCAAGUUUACAACUAGUUUCUAUAGUGCAGAGGGGUUGGUUGGUUUGUCUGCUUGUGCUGUGACAGCAUAUUGAAUUCAGGCACUCCUUGAGAGCACCCCAGAAAUACAGAAGGAUUUGAAGAGUCAAGAUGAAUAGAUAACUUCAAGUAAAGCUUAGCAGUCCCGUUCUUCACUGGACAAAAUUCCUGUAAGAAUUUUACAUGGGAGAAGAACGUAUGACCAGUGUGAGGUCAGAGCACCAUUUCAGAUACAUGCAACGUUGCCUGCAGUAUUUGUGCGCUGGUUAUGCAAACUGUUCCUGAGAGCUUUCUGGAGAUGUGGGCCCUUUAUCUCCUUGUGCUGAGUCUGGCUAAGUGUCAUAACCUACUUACCUGCAUCCUCUACUUCUGCCUGGAUAAACGUGCUGCAAGCUUUCCCUUGACCCAGUUUGGACAAUAAUGUUAGCAGUCAUAUGCCAGAGUGAUCAAUUUAAAAACCAGAGUUCCCAGAGGAAGAUGUAAAAUAACAGUGGUCAUGAUAUCUUUUGAGAUUCCAGAACGACGUUGCUUUAAUUCACAGAGCAGGCGCUGACUCCCGACUGCAGCGGGUUUUCUUUAUGUAACAGCCACCCACAAGUAAAGACAAAAGGAUCCUUACAGGUGUCAUUUUGCAUAGUCGUCUUGACCUCAGCAAUGUCAGGCUGAUUAUCCUCUGGCAGUGGCGUGCCCAGUUUCUCAGUGGUAUAUAAAUUGCAUCAAAUGUAUCUGUUUUCAAUGUGUACAAACAGAUCUGGAGUGUAUAAUUUUUUGAAUCCCUGAAUAUUCAGGAAACAGUUGUCUGCUCCUGUCCUGUUUGUCUCAUCAGCUGUUCAGAACUAGCUCAGGCCCAGCCACAAAGCAGAUUAUUGAAAUGUAGGGGUUUUUUGGUUUUCAAACACAAAAAUAAACUAGAUUUGAAGAAGUCUAAUUUUCUUUUAUUUGCUUUUGUUCCUUAAAAAAGCUUUGCAUUUCAUCUGUUUAUAAAUGUUCAGACACCCUGAUUGCCAACAAAGUAAAACCUAUUUGGUCACUUGGAUACUUCUUAAGUUUUGCUAACUGGAAAGAUACCUAACUUUCUGGGCUUAGCUUAAUAUCAUGCUAAAAAUACAAACAGUGAGGAAGUGGUAAAUGACACAUCUUACAAACUAGAUGAUUUAAUCUGUGAAAUGUGUUGAGCUGCUCUUGCGUACAAAUUGAAAUUCGAUAAAAAUAGAGACAGGGUAGUUAAUACUUCAAAUAAAGCCAUCUUAAUAAUGUUGGAAACAUUAACAUGUAUUGCUGACUGGUUUUGGAGGGUUUGGGUGUUUUCUGGGACCUUGUUUGUUUUUUACGAAAGGAUCAUUUGUAGUUGUUUGAAUUGCUUACUGACGGUCCUUCUCUUUGAGAUUUUAUCUGCUUUGCGUGCCCACUUUUUAGAGACUGGGAAGUAAAACAGCUUUGCUGCUUUCUCAAGCCCCGUUGGAUUCGUGACUUAGAAUUGUUGAGUAAUUAAGUAGAACGAAGUUAAAUGCAUUUUCCUUGCUCCUUCCAUCUUUUUGUUUCUGCAGUACAGAUUUCUAGCUACAAAGCUCAAAAGAUUUUUCAGCCCAACAUAGGGAAUAGGUGAAACCGUUGAUUCUUUUUCCUCCAGAAGUUUGCAUUUAGCAAAAGGCAACUUGAAAGUGUGUAAGAGCUGACUCUUCAGAGGAGAGAGGCCGACAUACUGCAUUUCUCAUUCAUAAUCCUCUUCAGUAAUCCUAAUCCAUUUCAGAUCUGGAGCCAUUCUUAAGCAUCACAUGGGAGAGGAUUCUUAAGGCUGCUCAAAACAACCGUGCAGUAAAUAAAUCGAAGGGUCUGCACUCGUUGCAGAACAGCGCGCAUGUUCUAUGCUGCAGGUGCUGAAAGACAGGGUGCUUUCUGCCGCGUGCCCAAGGGAACAGCUUACUUGAUUUAUUUAGAUUCUGAGGAAGAGUUUCUGAAUCUGUAAUCAAGCAAAUGACUUCUGAGAUUAUUGAUCACUUUGGGUACUGAACAGAAACAAGAACUUAAAAAGCGGAGAGCUGCUAUUGUGUUUACCUUAAUAAAUCCAUUAGAAACUGGUGGCAAGGUAAGUUGCAUUUUUCUUUUUAUUCCUUUGUAACAAUUUUUUGUGCUCAGAAGUAGUUACUUGGCACCCAUAGUUUGAGGUGAAAUACCCUUUUUAUACAUCAAGCUCUAUAAACCUACAGUUGGGAGUUUUCUACUGAAAAGCCUCCUUUUUGGUACUGCAAUAAUGGUGCAGGUACAGAGGUCAGUGCACGUGUAAAAUAAAACAAGCUUUACCAUCUCGUUUCCAGCUACGAGAUGUGCCGAGUCUCAUGUACACGUGGGACACACAUAGGUAUUUACUCGGGGAGGGCAAGGCAGGAUCAUCACUUUCCCUAGUGCUAGCUAGCACUUUUAGUCUUGUGAGAAGUAUUUUAUUUUUUUCUUAAUUCAUCCGUAGCUCUUAAACAAAUUGUUGCUGGUUUUCUUUUAGCAGAACUUAAAAUUUCUGUUUCCCUGGUUUUAACUUUUUUCCUAGUAAACUUGCAGUAUGUCUGUUGUACUCUCUCAUUGCCUUCCAGAUUCUGCUCAUCUCUUCCUUCAGUUGUCCAAAGGUCUAUAGAAUUGUCAAGUUAGCGGGGAUUCAGUUGUGCAUGUGAUAGGUGAAGUGUGUCAUCUUCCCUAGGAGCCUCCUUGUUUUGGAGUUAGCUUCCCGUUAGCUUCAGUGUUCCUUGCAGGAAGCCUUUCAUUCACCAAAUUCCACGCAGGUCUGUAAUUGUGGACAAGCUCAGUGAUGUGACAGAGCGUGUAGGAUUUGAUUGAAGAUGCUGUCAGUUGCUUUGGUUUUGAAGGAGUUAAAGUAAUAUUUACGGUAAGCCAGGAAAUUUACCUAGGCUUCCCUUGUUCUUGGUUUUGGGGGGGUUGACACAGAUGGAUUUGUGCGAGUUUUCCUUUAAGGAAUUUUAUGUGGUAUUAUAUGGUAUUGCGAAACAAGUCAGCAGCUCGUGUUUUAAGAGUUGCAAAAAUGAGCGUAUUAUCCGUUGGCUUGGGAGGGAUAUGUGGAUGUUUAUGUGGCUAUUACAUGUUUCUCCUGCCUUUAGAACGCUAACUCUGGUGCACGGGGAACGUGCAUCUUUUCUACAUGUCUGCGGUCUUCUACUGAGGCCCUGAGCUUGGUUGUUCUGUUAGUUGUCGAUGUCCACGUGUGGCUUGAGUCCGUGAGGUUUUUGGUGCCGGUUUAGUUCUGCCCUGGUGUAUAAGUGCAUACAGCGGGUUUUUUCACCGGGCUUUACUUAGCAUGCACGUUUGCUAGCAGAUGCUCCGUGCAGCAGCCUAUACCAGGGGAGAGCCUCAUGUAUUGCAGCUUCUCAGAAGGCGUGGGCAAAGCCUGCUUUAGAGGCCUUCUAGCUGCACUGGAGGGAAUGUCAACGUCUCUGCAGGAGGGGAAUGGUGGCCGAGAGGAAGAUGAGAAAGGAGCAGUCUGUGGCCAGUUGUUCCUUAGCCUUAGCUGCAUCAUUUUGUCUCACCUGGUUGUUUAAUACAGCCUGUAUUUGAGAUGAUGCUGCUGUUCAACUUCAUCAAGUCUUCCCAGCUGUGUCUUUAUGGGCCCCUGUUCCUCUUCUUUUUCUUGGGUACAGGAUUUUAGGAAGCGGAGGGGUGGAUGAGCAAGGAUAAGAUGUGCUGAGCAGCUGGACUGGCUCUAUUUAUUCCUCAAUCGUUCCACCCUUAACAGAUUUGAUCCCAUUUGGAGUCUCUGAUUUAUUGCUGUGUGCUCCUUUGAUCAGGCUGUGGCCCUCAGAAAAAUCUGAGGGUAACAAAGUGAAAAAGCUCACAGCUCCAGGAAUUGCUCGGGAGAGACCUGUUUACAAGACCUUUCACAGCAAGAUGAACAGCUAGGAGCUGUUGCCUGUGCUUGCUCUCUGCAGGCGCUCCUAGGGCACACUAAUGCUAGACUAUCCCUUGAUGUGGAUGGACGAAAUUUACCUUUAAAGUAGGGCUGUCGAAAUAACAAAUGCUUGUUUGUUUUUCAGGAAAGGAGAGAAAUAAGGAAAAGUUUUAUUCUGUGUUUCCAAAGGUGCUCUCAAGUCCAAGGUCACGUUUUAUCAAAACAGAUAGGCAGUACUCCUGAAUGCAUCCUAAGCAAGCAAAGUACCUAACUCUGUACUUGAGCGCUUGCUUCAAAUUUGUUUUCCGUUUUAAGAAAGUGAUCUGGAAGUGGUUUAGUUCCCGAAAAAGGAUUUUUUUUCCUCAUGUUUGUGUUUUUAAAGGUAUCUUUAAAGGCACUCAUCUCUUCCAAAAAGCUGAAGCGUCCCUCUUCCUUUGAAGCUGGUCCUGUCAGGUUCCUAAGCAGCGCUGAAGCUGCAGCUAGGCAUGCAGGCUGUGUUGACUUCCAGCGUGGAGGAACAUUUGUCUACACUAACCACGUUUCAGGCUUUUUUCUUGGGACUGGCUUGAACCUGGUCCCGCGGACUGAACUCCCAUCAGUAGCUCGAGUGUGUCUUCUGGUGUCCUUUCAUCUGAAAGGGGCCCGUGUCGUGCUGUUUCAGACUGCCCUGCCAGAUUAUACCAGAAUGCAGUAAUGGCGGCGCUUGGGGAUGAUUAUUUCUAAGGCCAGCUCCCGAUACAGAGCGAAUCGUUCGGAUCAUUCCUUCUCUGGAUAGCUAAUGCUUGCUGAAAUUUUCAGAUUUGUGUCACUGAAUAGAAAUUUUUGUUUGAACAGCCAGAUGGGGAGUUCUAAGUCUACACUGAGAAAUUCUGCACUUGAAAAUUUGUUUUUUCCUGAAAUGGGAUUUGCCUUGUACAGGUUACAAAUAAGAGCCUUAAGUGCUAGGGAUUCAGGUUUUUGUGUGCACUUGUCCCUUUGAGUAGUUAAUAAUCCGAAAAGUUGCCAGAGUACCUGCAUUAUUUAAGCACAAAGGCCAUAAAGCACUGGAUGUAAUUGGGCAUAAUACAGCAGUGAUUCCAGGCCAUUUUUGACACUGAUAUGAAACAAUUUUGUUAGAAUAAAACAAGAGUGUCUGGUAUUUUGUUGAGAGCGUUGCUACCUAUCCUCCUGUUGUGUGACCCAGUUAUUGUGAAGGUGCAGUUGUGCAAUUCGGCAUCCCGGCAAGGUUGAGAAUCUCAGCAUUUCACCUGCCUUAGAAACUUUCCGUGCUGAAAUGUUGCUUAGUACGGCUCAUCUUCCUGAGCAAACACAGCGCACGUGCGCCUUAUACAACACCAGACGGGUUCCUUCAAUUAGCGUUUGUGCAGAUCUGUAGCUAUUUCGAGAGGAAAGACGUGGGUUAGGUGGAAGGAGAUUGAAGGAGGCAAAAGCAUUGCGGGAAGUGAGAAAAGGAGAAGGACUUUUCCCUCCGCUGGGGAGAACUGCCUCUGUAGUCACACUGUCCUGACCCUUCAAAAUCCUUUGAGCUGUGGUCUCCUGCCAGCACCAGGCUUAACAUUUUUACAGGUGUUUAUUUCCUUCCCACCCUUUCUCAGUUCCCUACCAGUUCUGGGUUAGAAUGAAAGACUGUAUGAUUCUUAUGCGAUACAGCCUGGGACAGCUUUGGCAGUAGUGCAUGGAGUUUUGUUUUUCCUACAUGAUGGCUUUUUUUUUUUUUUUUCUUCAGAGGAAACAUGUCUGACUCUGAAUGACAUUCUGGUUGUCCUCAAAGUGACAGAUUUCAGAAUUUGACCUAGCUUUGAAAUAGGAUCUGUUUGCUCUGACCAGAGCUUCCUGCAGCAGUGAGGUUAGAAAAGUCUGCUGUCCUGUCCUUUUAUACUGGCCAGGAUCUGAGCAAUUGAUGGUGUAAUACGCUCCCACACUCAAGCAGAUCCACGAGGUGAAGGAAAGCAGUGUUUAACAAAGCUGAUUAUUUUCUUAUGAUAGCUAAUUGUUAUUUUAGACUUAUCUCCCCUCUAGCUGUGGUACUGCAAAUACGUCUAAAUACCAUCUGUGUGUUCAUCCCUCCUUCACAGAUGGCUGUAUGCAUGAAUAUUUGUCUGCAUGUACUAAUUGUUAAUGAAUCAACUUAAUGACUUCUAUAGUUCCUGAUCAGUAUUUAAAAACUUUUUUUUUUCCUUAUACCGUGUACGAUGGCCUCCCACAUGCAGUCGAGUAGUAUUUUAGCACCUUCAUCAAGGUGCUUCAAUUGUGCAUGAGGAAGGGGGGAGGUAGCAUGAGGAUUCAGAAAUGUAAUCUGCUCUCAGAACUCAGUCAAGUUUAUUUUAUUGUAGCAUCUGAAAUGAAGGCUCAGGUCAAACACUGCAAUAUUGCUAAGAGAUAGGAACCUCAAAUUCAGCAUGUGAAGCACACUGUGAGAGUACACCAAUGCCUGAUUUAUACCUCUGCUGUACAGUUAGCAGUACCUAGAUAUGCAAUCUCUGCUAUUUUUAUACAAUUAGGAAAGGUGCUGAAAUGAUUCCUGUUUAUAUAGCUGACUUGAAAUUUGAAACAGCGAGGCAGAAAUCCUCAUCUCUGAUUGUCUAGAAGACAACAAAGUAGCCGGAAAAACCUGGUGGUGGAAGACACACUUGGGCACAAGAUAGGCCAUCUGCUCAUUGAUCUUAAGUGUUAAUAUGUUUAAUUAUAGAUUCUUGGCACUGUGGGACAUGUUGCAGCUGUUUUCAUUCUGACCGAAUGGUCUUUCCUGCAUCUCAUUCGUGGUUUUGGUGACACUGGGCCAGUCUGCCACGUUCUAGGACCACUGUUUGGAGAACAUGGGAUCUGGUAGUUCUGUAAAUGCCAACUACAAGUACUCCCUGCAGAAGUCUGAAAAUGCUUUCAAGGCAGCCGUCUUGAUCCAACAGUGGUAUCGGCGCUACGUUGCUCGGCUGGAAAUGCGCCGACGUUGCACCUGGAGAAUCUUUCAAUCCAUUGAGUACGCUUGUGAACAGGACCAGAUCAAGCUUCACAACUUCUUCAGUUACCUCAUGGACCACUUCACGCCAAGCAGCAGUAAAGAGAGUAAGUUUCUGUG